UUCAGCUGUGUAGUGAUCUACUGUGAACGCCCGACGUCUGAGUACAGACAGAGAUAUUGGCCUACAAGUGAGGGGCACCACUUGUUAAAGACAACGGGCGGGAGAAGCCACAAAUUCCACCACCUUUUGGCUUUGGACUCAGUGGAUGGUCAUUUCCUGUUGACAUACAUCGUCACUACCAGUGAUUAGCUGUUGCGGAAAUCUCUGCGUGUCUGUUUGUCCUUAAACACAUAUGCUUUCCAAGGAGGAGAACAUGCGUCCUUGUUUGGCAAACAUUGCUCGGACGGUGACGUCGUGUCCCCGGCCAAAAAUGGUUCCCGGUCGGACUCCAAAAACAGCAACAUGCGCAUGAAACUCAAAUCAUGAAACUCAAGUCAAAUGGAUGUAGUAGUUGGAUGUUUGAGCUUCACUCUGCAGAAUGACGUAUGUGC